GAUGAACGCUGGCUCCAGGCUUAACACAUGCAAGUCGAGGGGAAACGACGGGGAAGCUUGCUUCCCCGGGCGUCGACCGGCGCACGGGUGAGUAACGCGUAUCCAACCUGCCUCUGACUGAGGGAUAACCCGUCGAAAGUCGGCCUAAUACCUCAUGGCAUCGUCUGCGGGCAUCCAACGACGAUUAAAGAUUUCAUCGGUCAGAGAUGGGGAUGCGUCUGAUUAGCUUGUUGGCGGGGUAACGGCCCACCAAGGCGACGAUCAGUAGGGGUUCUGAGAGGAAGGUCCCCCACAUUGGAACUGAGACACGGUCCAAACUCCUACGGGAGGCAGCAGUGAGGAAUAUUGGGCAAUGGGCGAGAGCCUGAACCAGCCAAGUAGCGUGCAGGAUGACGGCCCUAUGGGUUGUAAACUGCUUUUAUGCGGGGAUAAAGUGAGGGACGUGUCCUUCAUUGCAGGUACCGCAUGAAUAAGGACCGGCUAAUUCCGUG
rnacentral:rRNA from 1 species